rnacentral:rRNA from 1 species
UACAGAGGGUGCAAGCGUUAAUCGGAAUUACUGGGCGUAAAGCGCACGCAGGCGGCUGCAUAAGCCGGUCGUGAAAUCCCCGGGCUUAACCUGGGAAUUGCGAUCGGGACUGUGCGGCUAGAGUGUUGGAGAGGACAGCGGAAUUCCCGGUGUAGCAGUGAAAUGCGUAGAUAUCGGGAGGAACAUCAGUGGCGAAGGCGGCUGUCUGGCCAAACACUGACGCUCAGGUGCGAAAGCGUGGGGAGCAAACAGGAUUAGAUACCCUGGUAGUCCACGCCGUAAACGAUGAGAACUAGACGUCGGAGGGGUCUGCUCUUCGGUGUCGUAGCUAACGCGCUAAGUUCUCCGCCUGGGGAGUACGGCCGCAAGGUUGAA